CAUGUACUAUUCCUGCUAUCCGUGGUGCGCUCAUCGCCCUUCUUGGCAGCCAGUUCUAUCAUUUCGGAUUAGAGUUUGUCAGCAGAAAUUCGAUUAGAACAGAGGAGUUCUUACAGAUGCUUGGGAGCCAGCAUUGCCGGCGUGCAGCUGUAGAAGCAGUCCUUGCGGAGUUUCUUCGGAGGGAACUGUGAGAAUGGAAUGAAUGUCGUACCUUUCGAUGCCUUGAGCUGUUCUUGUUCGCUCACUCUGCUUCCCACCAACCAUAUCUACCGAAGCAGACACUUUCCGGACCAAAUUGUGUGCAGCAUCUGUGCUCAGCUUUGCCUUAAGCUUCUUGAAGUCAUCCUCGGAUGUGGUAAAGACCUAUCGACGUUACGAGGAGCUUGGGAUAAGAAUAUGCAGUUUUUGACAGGCUACCGAGCAUGGCGACCUCAGUUGCUCGUUUCGGGAUGGCGUUUAGCACGAUGGAAACUGCUAGACUACUCCCGUCGACCAACUUCACUCUUAGCCGAGGGUGAUUUCUCACGAAAAGCUCGCCG